rnacentral:misc_RNA from 1 species
GCAUCUUGGGGGUUGUUGUGAUUGGUUUGUUUCCGGUGGUUGGCUCUCUGCUUGUGCAACAACUUCCACCUGACAUACCUUUUCAGUUACACGUCAAGGUUUUAUUGCCUUGAGUGCGUUGUGGGUUUCCUGUGUUGCAUACCUAUCUGACGGUAUUGUUUGGAUCUAUUAAAGUCAUUUUCAUCUUUCGUCAUGCUUGUGGCGUGGGAUGAACCUUAAAGCAAUGUCUAUGGUCUACCUUGUUGACACACACGUGUUGAUGUUGUGGCCCAUUGACCAUUGCUUGGUUUCAUGGAUAUAGAACAUGAUGUGGGCACGAGGAAUCACAUGAUCCUUGUUUUGUCCAAGUUGAGCGUUAUCGUUUCUCUAAGAUGACUGCCUUGCCCGAAUUGGCUCGUACCAUCGGGUUGGAUAUGUUGUCGAUGAGAGAUGCUAGCGUUCUUGCUUCUCAAAAACGACUGCCUAGCCGUUUGGCUCGUACCAGCGGGUGGGAUAUGUCGAAGAGGGAUGCUACCUGGUUGAUCCUGCCAGUAGUCAUAUGCUUGUCUCAA